UAACUGGUUGAAUUCUGCAGAGACUGCCAGACUAGGGACCGGGAGAGGUCUGGGGUACUCUCGGGGUAGGGGUAAAAUCCUGUCAUCCUGGGAGGACCACCAGUCGCGAAGGCGCCACACUGGAACGGAUCCGACGGUCAGGGACGAAGCCUAGGGGCACGAACCGGAUUAGAUACCCGGGUAGUCCUAGGAGUAAACGCUGUGAACUUGGUGUCGGGGAUCCUACUUGGGUUCCCGGUGCCGGAGUGAAGAUGUUAAGUUCACUGCCUGGGGAGUACGGUCGCAAGGCUGAAACUCAAAUGAAUUGACGG
rnacentral:rRNA from 1 species